AAAAAGUCUAAACCUAAAACAACGUGGUCCCUAUCGAAAGUGGAGCUCACAAGCAUUGCGUGCUCAAAAGCCAUCCCGAAUUCGUGGAUUGUGACCACUACCGACAACGGCUCAAUCAGCUGUCUCCCUUGAAUACCAAGCCUGGGCAUCCAGCGUCGGCAACAAACAAACGUGAUCUGCCAACGGAUAUUGCGAAAAAUCCUGUACUUCCAUUUUAUUGCACUGUGGCGGCGGCGUGGACAGACCGGCCGAUGGCUCAUACUGACGGGGAAGUACAAACUGAUUCGUACAACCUGCAGCGGGAUGAAGACCAUGACAGCGGAAACAAAUUUCGACUCCACGAUUUGUUCGCCAUUUAUCCUUCAGGAUAUUUCGUUCAUCAAACGGAGGUUGAUUUCCAGCCUGCUGAUU